rnacentral:rRNA from 1 species
CCUACGGGUGGCUGCAGUGAGGAAUAUUGGUCAAUGGGCGGGAGCCUGAACCAGCCAAGUCGCGUGAGGGAAGACGGUCCUACGGAUUGUAAACCUCUUUUGCCGGGGAGCAACGGGGUCCUUGCGAGGGCCCAAUGAGAGUACCCGGAGAAAAAGCAUCGGCUAACUCCGUGCCAGCAGCCGCGGUACUACGGAGGAUGCGAGCGGUAUCCGGAUUUAUUGGGUUUACAGGGUGCGUAGGCGGGCUGUUAAGUCAGCGUGCAACUGGCGGGGCUCAAGCCCGGCCUGCCGUUGAAACGGGCGGCCGCGAGUUGGCGAGAAGUAUGCGGAAUGCGUGGUGUAGCGGUGAAAUGUAUAGAUAUCACGCAGAACUCCGAUUGCGAAGGUAGCAUACCGGCGCCCUACUGACGCUGAGGCACGAAAGCGUGGGUAUCGAACAGGAGUAGAUACCCGUGUAGUC